UGCUGUGAAGUUGAAUCUUGAUGUGAAAAUAGAGCAAACUGUCUCCUGCUGGAGCACGUCUGCCAGGGUUCCUCGGCUCUCGGGCGAACACGCCCUCGCCCCUACCUGCCCGGGUAUAGAUCCCACUGAAGAAGUCAACUGAAAGUAAUUGGUCAGUGCAUGCUGCUACUCGAUAGUAUUAUAGCAGAAAUGCCAAUGACUGCUCGGGCCUAAAGCUAAGUUAAGAUUUGAAAAAUCGACCUCCCUGUUGUCACUUCUCUUCAACACAGCCACCUUGUUAGGAAGGAACAGAGGCAUGAGGUAUUAUCCCUGCCAAGAAGCACCCAGGCAGGCUUGAGCACUUGGAUGAGCAUCUGCCCCCAGGACUCGUCAGCGAAACGCCGCUCUCUCACCUGCACACGGCUCCUUCCUCUCCCAAGCUGGGCUGAGGCAAAGACAAGCUGAUGAGGAGGCAAUGACAGCUGCUAUGACAUGUCUUAUCAGACAUCAGGCCGCUACAGAUACACGGCGAGCUGGGCUUCAAGGAGCCGCCAUGGGGGAAGAGCCGUGUGCAUGCACAUCCAGCAUCCACACAGGAGACGAGGCAGAGGGAUGGCACGAAUGAU